rnacentral:lncRNA from 1 species
AAUUUUGUAAUCGUAGAUAUGUUUGGUUCAAAAUGUGUUUGGUUCACAAGAGGAUAGUAGGAGAAGCGGGAAAUUUUAGUUAAAAAUUGUUUGAUUCACACGUGGAGUAGAGGAAUUUUAUUAAUAAUUUGUGUAAAAUAGUCUGCAAGUUAAUGAGUUUUUUGGUUUUGGUCUCUCUAAUUUUUUUUAUAUGAGUAUUUAUAUUUUACUUUUU